UACGGAGGGGGCUAGCGUUGUUCGGAAUUACUGGGCGUAAAGCGCGCGUAGGCGGACCUGCAAGUCGGGGGUGAAAGCCCGAGGCUCAACCUCGGAACUGCCUUCGAUACUGCGGGUCUCGAGUCCGGGAGAGGUGAGUGGAAUUCCUAGUGUAGAGGUGAAAUUCGUAGAUAUUAGGAAGAACACCAGUGGCGAAGGCGGCUCAGCUGGCCCGGUACUGACGCUGAGGCGCGAAAGCGUGGGGAGCAAACGGG
rnacentral:rRNA from 1 species